rnacentral:rRNA from 1 species
GGGCUUACGGGGCGCAGCAGUGGGGGAUAUUGCACAAUGGGGGGAACCCUGAUGCAGCGACGCUGCGUGGGUGAAGAAGCGCCUCGGCGCGUAAAGCCCUGUCAGCAGGGAAGAAAAUGACGGUACCUGAAGAAGAAGCCCCGGCUAACUACGAGCCAGCAGCCGCGGCAAUACGUAGGGGGCAAGCGUUAUCCGGAUUUACUGGGUGUAAAGGGGGCGCAGACGGCGAUGCAAGCCAGGAGUGAAAGCCAGGGGCCCAACCCCGGGACUGCUCUUGGAACUGCGUGGCUGGAGUGUAGGAGGGG